rnacentral:rRNA from 1 species
CCUACGGGAGGCAGCAGUAGGGAAUAUUGCUCAAUGGGGGAAACCCUGAAGCAGCAACGCCGCGUGGAGGAUGAAGGUUUUAGGAUUGUAAACUCCUUUUGUUAGAGAAGUCCAUUACGGUACCUAACGAAUACUCACCGGCUAAUUCCGUUCCAGCAGCCGCGGCAACACGGAGGGCGCAAGCGUUAUUCGGAAUCACUGGGCGUAAAGGGGGCGUAGGCGGGGUAAUAAGUCAGAUGUGAAAUCCUGUGGCUCAACUACAGAACUGCAUUUGAAACUGUUACUCUGGAGUGUGGGAGAGGUAGGUGGAAUUCUUGGUGUAGAGGUGAAAUCCGUAGAGAUCAGGAGGAAUACUCAUUGCGAAGGCGGCCUGCUGGAACAUAACUGACGCUGAUGCACGAAAGCGUGGGGAGCAAACAGGAUUAGAUACCCUUGUAGUC